CCAUUUAAACUCACUUUUUUAACUGCUAUAUCAGUAGUUCUCAACGGUUUCCUUGCCAGUUAAUUAGAUAGCAGGUUUUACCCCACGUUUUCCACCUCCCAUGAUUUUAGGCUGCUAACGGUUGUCUCGUAUCUCCUCCUCACCCAUAAAACUACCAUCCCACCUCCACAACCCGGCGACAAUGAGGAUAAUUUCUAUGGUUCCAAGAGUUCGAGACGUGAUUUCAUCCACAGAUGAAUCUGGUAACAAAUUGCCUUAUGUUAUGUGUUCAAGAAGCAACUCCAUGAAGAUGUUGAAAAGGGAAAGGCAAUUGGGAUAAUUCAAGAACCACUCUACAAAACAUACCCUACCAUCACUACAGAAAGGAAGAAGAACACGAGAUUGGGAUUUGGGGGAUUCUAAUUUCUGGUCUAAUCGGAGAUACUGCCACUACUCUUGAUGCGUUAAAAAAAGAUGCCUCAAGGCGGCUCGAUUUGAGCAGGCGUUUUCUUCGAUCAAAAUAGUUCACUCCUAUGUUGGAGAGAAGAAAAUGGUGAAUCAGGUAUGGGAGCAUAUUUGUCAACAAAAGUGGAGAAUGGAGAUAUUAUUAGUGCAGGUGUACGCAUUGUAAAUGAAGGGUCGUAACUUGUAAGCGAGCAACAAGCUGCGCCGCUACCCCUUUCUGAAUAGCAAACCCUAGCCUAUUAAAGACAAACCCCUGCCCCCUGUUGAUGAGCCACUGCUGUGGACAACCUUUUAGACCCUAGUCAACAAACGGAUAGCUUCUGGAGCAAGGGAUCCAAAGGUGUCGAAGGCGAAGGAGACAAAUGCAUGUUGGUUAUCAGCAAAUACUAUUAAAAAUAAAAAAAACAAAUACUUAAAAAAUUAUAUUUACUAUUUAUGGUCACUUUAG